CCUGGAAUCGUCUAGUGGUUAGGACACCAGGUUCUGACCUCCUUCGCGGCUUGCCUCGGAUGCGCAUUUCCUGGUAACCUGGGUUCAAACCCCAGUUCCAGGU
rfam:Puccinia graminis f. sp. tritici CRL 75-36-700-3 supercont2.91 genomic scaffold, whole genome shotgun sequence.